UCUAUUAUUGUUAGGUUUAUCUUUUUCAUUUUUUUGUCUAAUGUUUUGUGAAAUAUUGUUAGUUUUAAUUUUUUUGGUAGGUCUUUAAAAUUUGAUUGUUGAACUGGAUUAGUACCCAGGUAGUCAAAAUUGAUUAGUGCGGGAGUAAAGUUAUUUUUAAACCGAAAGAAUAUUGACUGACCUUAGAUUUUUCUUUGGAACAUGUUUGUGGAGAGUCCUCCUUUUUGAUUUUUUCUUUGGGUGCAUGUAUGAUUGUUUAGUUUUUAUGUUAGGUGUGAGGCUUUUUAGUUAAAGGUAAAACAGAUAUAUACUUGGUUUAUGAGAUUUUUUUUUAUGUGUUACUAUUUGUUGUUUAUUCGGAGGUGUUUUUUGAUGAAUAUUGAAGUUGGAAAAGAAAGUAAUUUUGUUUUUAUGUCAAAAUGAAUUUAAUGAAUAAGGUGGUACAAACAUCCCGU
rnacentral:rRNA from 1 species